rnacentral:rRNA from 1 species
AUUGAACGCUGGCGGCAUGCCUAACACAUGCAAGUCGAACGAGUGGCGGACGGGUGAGUAAUGUCUGGGCAACUGCCUGAUGGAGGGGGAUAACUACUGGAAACGGUAGCUAAUACCGCUAAACAUCCGAUGUGCCCAGGUGGGAUUAGCUAGUUGGUGGGGUAACGGCUCACCAAGGCGACGAUCCCUAGCUGGUCUGAGAGGAUGACCAGCCACACUGGAACUGAGACACGGUCCAGACUCCUACGGGAGGCAGCAGUGGGGAAUAUUGCACAAUGGGCGCAAGCCUGACGCAGCCAUGCCGCGUGUAUGAAGAAGGCCUUCGGGUUGUAAAGUACUGUCAGCGGGGAGGCGUUACCCGCAGAAGAAGCACCGGCUAACUCCGUGCCAGCAGCCGCGGUAAUUC